UACGUAGGGUGCAAGCGUUAAUCGGAAUUACUGGGCGUAAAGCGUGCGCAGGCGGUUGUGCAAGACAGAUGUGAAAUCCCCGGGCUCAACCUGGGAAUUGCAUUUGUGACUGCACGGCUAGAGUGUGUCAGAGGGGGGUAGAAUUCCACGUGUAGCAGUGAAAUGCGUAGAGAUGUGGAGGAAUACCGAUGGCGAAGGCAGCCCCCCUGGGAUAACACUGACGCUCAUGCACGAAAAGCGUGGGGAGCAAACAGG
rnacentral:rRNA from 1 species